rnacentral:rRNA from 1 species
GGCAUGCGGGGCUAUAAUGCAAGGCGAAGGGGCAGCAAUGUCACUGUCGUACGGGUGCGUAACACGUAUGCAACCUACCUAUCACAGGGGGAUAGCCUCUGGAAACAGGGAUUAAUACCGCAUAAAGCAGGGACACCGCAUGGUGAUAUUGCUAAAGAUUUAUCGGUGAUAGAUGGGCAUGCGUCUGAUUAGUUAGUUGGUGAGGUAAUGGCUCACCAAGACGAUGAUCAGUAGGGGGCGUCAGAGCGUGGUCCCCCACACUGGCACUGAGAUACGGGCCAGACUCCUACGGGAGGCAGCAGUAGGGAAUAUUGGGCAAUGGAUGCAAGUCUGACCCAGCCAUGCCGCGUGCAGGAAGAAGGUCCUCUGGAUUGUAAACUGCUUUUUUGGGGGAAGAAUAGUUUUCUUGCGAGGAAAUGUGACGGUACCCUAAGAAUAAGCCACGGCUAACUACGUGCCAGCAGCCGCGGUAAUACGUAGGUGGCAAGCGUUGUCCGGAUUUAUUGGGUUUAAAGGGUGCGUAGGUGGUUUGAUAAGUCAGUGGUGAAAGCCGGUUGCUCAACAAUCGAGUUGCCAUUGAUACUGUCGGACUUGAGAGAAGUGGAGGUUCAUGGAAUGGAUGGUGUAGCGGUGAAAUGCAUAGAUAUCAUCCAGAACGUCGAUUGCGAAGGCAGUGGGCUGUACUUUAUCUGACACUGAGGCACGAAAGUGUGGGGAUCAAACAGGAUUAGAUACCCUGGUAGUCCACACUGUAAACGAUGCGAACUAGCUUUUUGGUUUUUGGAUUGGGAGGCUAAGGGAAACCGAUAAGUUCGCCACCUGGGGAGUACGCCGGCAACGGUGAAACUCAAAGGAAUUGACGGGGGUCCGCACAAGCGGUGGAACAUGUGGUUUAAUUCGAUGAUACGCGAGGAACCUUACCUGGGCUAAAUCAGAUAUGAAUUUAGCA